AAACAGGGGACAAAACAUGUGAUUCCAUUCUCAUGGCACUUCUAGACAAAUAGGAGGGACAGAUGCUCAACAAAAACACACUUGUGAAUACACAUUUGCCAACAGAGGUGAAGGUUACACAGGAAAGCCAAGGGGAGCUAGAAAAGCCUAUACAAGGUAUUGGGGGGAAGGCCAGUGGGCAUGAGGUCUGCCAUCCAAGUCUGCGAGCGCAGGUCUCAGUUUCAUAUCCUACGGGCUCUGUGGCCACAGUGUUAUCUAGGAACCAGGUCCUUCUUUGAAGGAUGGCUGGGCAAGAUAACAACAGUGGUCUGUGAUCCAGAGAGAGUAAACUAUCCACACCACAGAAAGCUCAAAUCUAUGGCCUUGGACUCAUUAGCCUGGCGUUCUAAACAACUCAGAGACAAAUUAUCAAACUCUUACUCUAUGCUGGAAAGGCGACUUGAACCCAUUUUGCCACCCAGAUGCCCUUGGUGAAGCCACCAGUGGUAACAGAAGAAGGGGGAGAAAGAGAGGUCCUGCAAGCUGGAACUGAAGGCAGCUCAGCACACGGCCAGGCACUUGUCCAGGAGUCAGAACCCGGCCCCCUGGCCUGGUGUGCCCAGCUGUGUGAUCCCCAGUGCACCUCUCAGCGGCUCCAUGCUUCAGAUUUCUUUCUCACCUGUAGGACAUGUCCUAUUCCUCACUGAUAUGUCACUUUUGGGGAUGUGCUCCCGUCUGGGCCUGGGUAUGGCAUCAUCGGUACCUCUGAUGAUUAGGAAGAAAUCUAAUUUUUCUUAUAUUAAGGAGGAAUUGUCUGACUGUGCAUCAAAGCCCCCGAGGAACAGUGCCUUAAAGAGGAUCAAAGAUUCUUUCUCUCUGGGUGAAGGCCCUUUAGGGCAGUAUAGGGCUCUCCGCUCAUUCUCAAACCAGGCUCUUCAUGCCACCUGUGCAGGCAUUCUGAGGGCUUGGCUUUGAACCUCACUGUCCAAGGUGAGCUGUGACCAUCACAUCACUGCCCUCAGAGCAGAACUGAGGACAUGGUAAGGAGAGAUACGACCCCUUCCUUUUAGAGAUAUUGUCCUAGAUGUUGCACACAUCCUUUUUCACAUUACACUGGUCAGCAGUCACCCGGCCACAGGAAGGCAGAGAAAUGUGGCCAUGAACCCAGCUAAUUAUUUAUGAAUCUGUUAUCUUGCAAGAAAGGGUGAAUGAUUAUUAAUGGGACAGCAAUCAGUCUCUGCCACUUUUAUUUUCAUUAAACUUUCUACUAUAUUUAUUUUUCCCCCCUAAGUUAGGGAAUAGGUAUACGCUUGUUGCCAUUUAGUUGAUUGUUUUAUCACUGAUUUUGUAGUUCUUCUCUUUCUUCUCUUGUGGUUUCAUGACUUUCUUUGGUGUUACACUUAGAUCCCUCUCUUUUUCUAUUGUGUAUUGACUAAGUUUUUCUUUGUGGUUACUGUGAGGUUUGCCUGUAUCAUCCUGUGGAUGCAACAGUCUAUUUUAAGUUGGUAGCCACUUAAUCCGAACACACUCCAAACUGUAUUUUCAUCUUUCUCAUUUUAGGUUUUUGGAUGUCACAUUUUUAUAUCUUUUUUUUUUAUUUUAAGUAUACCUUAACUAAUUGUCAUAGUUAUAGUUAAAUAUAAUUUCAUCUUUUAACCUUCUCAGGAGCUUUAAAAGUGAUUAACCCACCACCUUUUCUAUAUAUUUAUCUUUCCCGGUGAGACUUUUCCUUCCCUGUGUUUUCUUGUUACUAUCCACUGCCAGUUCGUUUCAGCUUAAAGAGGUCUCUCAAUAUUUCUCAUAAGGCCAGUUCAGUAGUGAGAAACUCUCCUAGCUUAUCCUUAUCUGAAAAACUCUUAUUAAUUUCUCGGCAGUUUUGAAGGAUCACCCUGCUGGGUAGCAUAUUCCCGGCUACAAGUUUCCAGCACUUUCAAGGUGUCAUGCUACUCUCUUCCGGCUUGCAAAAUUUCUGCUGAGAAUUCUGCUGGGAGCCUUCUGGGAUUUCCCUGUACUUAACACUUUGUUUUUCUCUUUCUGCUUUUAAAAUUCUCUAAUUUUUGACAUUUUAAUUAUAAUGUGUUUCAGUGUGGUUUUCUUUGGGUUCAUUAUAUUCAGAAUUCUCUGUGUUUCCUAGACCUGCACAUCUGUUUCCUUCCCUAGGUUAAGAACGUUUUCAGCCAUUAUUUCUUCAAAGAAGUUUUCUGCCCCUGUUUCUUUCUUUUCCUUCUGGGGCCCUUAUAAUGAGAAUGUUACUUCACUUGAUGUUAUUUGCGUUACCUUCAUUAAAGUUCUUUUUUUCUUCUUGCUGCUGUGUCUGGGUGGGUUCCAUUGCUUUAUCUUCUGGUUCACUGAUCCAUACUUCUGCUUCAUCUAGUCUGCUGCUGAACCUCUCCAGUGCAGUUUUUGUUUUGGUUAUUGUAUUAUUCAAUUCUUUUUGGUACAUUCUUAUUCCUUCAGUCCUUUUUGGUAUGUUUCUUAUGCCUUCUCUGUUGAUGUCAUCACCAGGUUGAUCUAUUCUUCUGCUGAGUUCAGUGAGCACCUUUAUAAACCAUACUUUGAAUUCUCUACUAGGUAGAUUACUCAUCUCCGUAUCAUUUGAAUCUUUUCCUGAAGAUUUUUUUCUUUUGUUUGGAAUAUACUUCUCUGUUUCCUCAUUUUGCUUGAUUUUCUGUCUGCUUCCAUGUAUUAGACGAAACAGCUACCUCUCUCAAGAUUGAAGGUGUGGCCUUGUGUAGGUGAUGAUCUUUCUGUUUCAACCUUGCCCUAGCUCAUGGGAAACUUUGAGACUGUCUAAACUGCCUGGUUUAUUCUUGAUAUGCCCCCAUUGUUGAGGGUGUGCCAAGACUUGUCAGUGAUUCAAGGAGAGGAAUCUCAUCUUACAUCUAGUUUCAGGAUGAAUGGAAGCCAGGCCCUCAUGCAGCAGCUUUUUAUUUUUUUAUGUUUAAAAAUUUUUAAGAUUUUAUUUAUUUAUUCAUAAGAGACACACAAAGAGGCAGAGACAGAAGCAGAGGGAGAAGCUCCCCAUAGGGAGCCUGAUGUGGGACUCAAUCCCCGGAACCCAAGAUCACGUCCUGAGCCAAAGGCACUCAACCGCUGAGCCACCUAGGCAUCCCAUGCAGCAGCUUUUAAAGUAUGAAAAUACUUAUAGUCCUGUGAGUCUGCAAUUGUAAAGCCUUUUGGCCUCCAGACCAGGAGAUCUGGAAGUGUCUCCUGGGUAAGUUGCCAAAUUCAGGGCCACAGGUGAUCAUGUAAGCUCCUUUCUGGGAAGUCUCAUUGGGUUGUGGUGAGGCCGAAGGUAUGUUCAAGGAUGAUGUCUUUCUGCUUAUGCUCCCUAUGAGUGCCUCUUUAGCCUCUAGAUGUGUAGGAAACCUGAAGCUUGUCCCUGAGGUUGAAGCUCCACACUAAAUGAACAGGCUAUUUUCAGAGGAAGCCCAGGGUUGUUUCAGUCUGCUGUGUGCAAUACCUUGGAGUUGGUGUCCUGCCAAGAGCUAUUUUUCAGAUUGUUAUAGUUCCACAAGGCUCUGGAACACCAGCCCUCUUUGCUACCAGGGAAACUGAUUCAGGGGUAUCCUCUGUGUGGACUCCACAUGCUGUUGGCUUUAAUGAGGCAGCUGGAGAGUGUAGUGGGCAAGGAACAUUCCAAAAAUGUUUCUAAAGUCAGUGAGAAUGUGUCUUCUUGUGCUUGAAGACCUCAGGGAUACAGCAAGACCUCUCUGUGUGUGUGCUGGCUUUAGGUUGGGAAUGGAAGGGUGAUCGGACUGCUUGUCCCACCUGUCUUGGCAAGGUGGUGGGGACGUGUCUUCCCCAUAUUCUCAGCAAGUGCUACGACCACUCACCACCCCUUGUGGCCCAGCAAGGUGGUGGGAGGGUGCCAUGUCCUUGCUUGCCUACUGCGAGGAGACUGUGUGGGGAAUGCAGCAAUGGCAUCCAUCAUCUCUGAGGAGCAUCUCAGCUUUCCCCUACCCUUCCAGUUUAUGCCUCUAGAACAGCAAACGAAUCUCCCUCACAUAUUAUUGUUUUAUUUUUUCUUUUCUUUUUCUCUUUCUUUCUUUUUUUUGUUUUGUUUUUUAGAUUUAGGUGUUUUUCAAACCGCUGUUUUUUGCUGGGUCUCAGGUCAAGCAAGCCCUCCAAGAGAAAUCUCCAUUUAUUAUAGCACUUUGGGAUGCCCAGACAUUAGUCCCAUUGGUCAUCCAAGCCAGAUGUUCUGGAGCUUGUCUUUUCUGGUAUAGAUCCUGGGGCUCAUCAUUCUGGUAGAGAUCCCAAUGUGGGGCACCAAAACUUCACUCCCCUGGAAAGACUGCUUGUCCAGUGAGAUCCUUCCUUACUGUGUAUUGCCAUGCUGAAAUAGUUUUUUUGCAAGACCAUGUCUCUGCCUCUGUUGCCAGCAUGGAUGUUGUUCUUUUAUGCUUUGUUGUGGAGAGCAAUUGAUCUAGUUUUCAAAUCUUUUUUAGAGGGAAGUGAUCCAUAUGUAGCUUUGGAUGUGAGUGCAUCUGUGCAUCUGUGAGAGGAGGUGAGUUCAGGGAUAUUUCUAUGCUACCAUCUUGGAUGCCCCUCCCAAAAGAUAUUUAUCCUACUCUACAACCUAAGUUAACAUUGGUAAAAAUUAGUAAGACAGGCAACUUACUGAGAAUUCUGGGUCCCAAGCCACUUUAUCCUUUAACAGCCAGAUAAGCAAGGCAAGACUUACUUAAUUGGGCCUGAAGUAUAUGGCAAAUUGCUACAACUGUUGAUUUAAUUACUGUCAGUAGUAAUCUAGGAGAAAUAGUAUUACUAAUGAUUCGUAGCUUCUUCAAACAACUAAAUAUGUUAGAUGGCUGUUUCCAUGGGAUGAAAACAACUCCUACUGUCUUUGACCUGAUGGGCAAUAGCGGUUAGUAUAAGAAAACUGGUUAACUUGCUUAGCAUGGUUUUAAUCUCCAGAGAACCAUUUCCAGAGACCUAAAAGAAAAUCUCAGCAACAAACAUAUCUAUGAUCUUCAUAACAUUAUGUCUUAAUAUCUUGUUCCUGUGCUUGCUAACUUCUUUCUUAAAUAUUCAGGUAACAAUGAAUAUUUUUAAAGUAUAAUUUAAAUGAUUUGUUUUUCUUCCAAUUUCAAAAAAAAUUGUCACAUCCAUUCAAGUCAAAUCUUCUCUCAAAAUCUAGCUUGGUUUGGAAAACUGGUCUGAUAAUCUAAAAAUAUUUGUCUAAAUAGUGCAUAAACAAACUCUAGAACCCUUCAUAGAGUUUCAUUGCUAAAGUCUCUUUGGGAGAUUCUAUACCCAUUAAUCAAAUUUGAGUGUAUCAUGUAUGUUAGAAAUGAUCAUUAGAAAAAGGCUAAUAUUAUAAAAAUAGUUCUUGGAGGACAAAUUCAGUGCUGAGAAAAAUUCUAUGACCACUUUUAAAAUUCGAGUGACCAUUUUUCCCUUGCUACCUUAGCAAAGCUGAGAGUGAUAAAGCAAAUGAAUUUUUUCCUUGAAUUCCAAUUAAAAAUAAACUAUUUCUGAGUCUG